UAACAAAAGACAAAAAUACUGUGAAGGUCUUAAAAUUAAUCAGCACACUAUUAUAAAUUCUGAAAAUGUAAACCUUUUAGGUGUUAAUCUUGAUAGUGCACUCAGUUUUCGAGGGCACAUCAAUGAAAUUCGUGCUAAAUGCUCCAAAUUAAUAAAUAUUAUCAAGUUCUUGAGAGGGGUAAUGUUCUCCAUACAAUUUUUCAACUCAUUGAGUAUUGAAGAUACGUCUGAAUUUACGUCAAUAUCGAGUAGUUGAAAUAACUCUUUAAGGAACAAUAAAAGUAAACGAAUACCUGCAAUUCAAAUACGGACAGAGAUGACCUGAGAUCGGCCUGAAAAUGACCAUUUUAAUCGGUGGUUCAGAGGGUUGAUACAUUACAAAGAGUUAAGAACAAAUUAUAAAUGUAGCUCGUGAAGAAAUUUUGUAAGGAAAUAAAAUAAUGGAGACCUACACUGUUUAUGAUAGUAAAUUAAGCAAAGUAAUAAUUAAUCAAAUGUAAUUAUUUACUUACAACGUAAAAAUUGAUUACAUUUUUUAUAUUAUAUAUGCUAUUACUAUAUUAUUAUUUUGUAUAUAUUGUUAGUAUAUCAUUAAAAUUAUUAUUUUUUA